AACCGCACUCCUCAUCGUCUCCAAUCGACGCUCCGACACAGACGCAUGGACGCCGGAGCUCCCCUGCUCAGAUUCGCCGCGCUGCUUCCCUGCUCUCCCGCGCCGGAGCUCCCCUGCUCAGCUUCGCCGUGCUGCUCUCCCGCGCGUCCUCCUCCGUCGCUCCCUCCUGCCUCGCGCAGCUCCCCUGCCCCCCUUGCCUGCCUCCCAAAUCUCCCCUCUUUCACCCCCAAAAUCGUUUCUUCUUCGUCCCGCUGCGUCCCCUGCUUGCGCGCGGCGACGACACGUCCUCCUCGUUGCCCCCGACGCCGGAGGAGGCACGGGGCAAGCAACAGUAGCUCGUGCUGCGCCGGCGCGACCUCGGGUGCGCGUGGGCGUACGCGCGCCGGUCGCCGCCUCAACCGUGCGCCAGUCCGCGAAGGAGGAGGAAGGGGAUUUCGCCGCCAAGGCGCCCUGGGCAUGCUCCUCGAGUCCCUGCUCCUCGGCCCCCUCGUCACCUCCCUACUCAAGAAGCACAACAACAUGACGCAGGUCCUCUCCUCCCUUGUCAGCUUUCAUUUUGUUUGAGAUUAUUUUGUCCAACAACUCCGUGGUUUGCUUCCGUUGCACUCAGCACGAUUCUGGUCUUAUUAAUGUUGGGGGCGAGCAGAUGCGGCAGCGCACGGUGAUCCAGUUCUUUCAUUUAGUCAAGUUCUUUCAUUCAGUCAUGUUCUUUCAUUCAGUCAAAUUCAGUCAAGUUCUACUAAUCCCGCCGCAGGGUAAGACAGUGUGUGUCCCUUUGAAAUUGUCACUUGAAUUUUGUAUAGUUCGGAUAGAUGUUCCAGUUCUUUCAUUCAGUCAAGUUGUACUGAAACUUUCCGCAAAAACAAAAAAAUAAAAUUCUGCUGAAACUGAGAAAAGGCACAGAAACAUGAAUGUGCUGCCAUGUGCCUGAAUGUGCUGAUAAUUCUUUCUCAAAUUAGCCUGAAUGUGCUGCGCUGACCUUUGAUGAUAGUGUAUUCUUCCAAAUUAUGCAUGAAUCUGUAGCACACCAUGACACUACUAUGCAUGAAUCUGUAGCACACAUGGUCUUUUUAACACUUUUCAGUUUGCAUUAUCCUGGAGAUAGAACAUGGAUCUCUGAAUAAUUUAACACAUGGUCAGGCGUAUAGGUGUAGAUUGAUGCCAUCUUCUUGGAUUGAUCUUUCAGUAUUGCAAGUUCUUGGUCAGGCUUAUAAGUUGUCUGAACAUUUGGUAAAAUAAGUAAAUUGAAGCAAAUGCUACUUCGGUCAGACUAUUCAGUUGAAACAAAUGUUAGUCAACAAAUGUUCAGUUUUUUGCACUCUAAAUAGUCAAAAUUUACAAAUGUUCAGAAAUCUACAGAUUUUGCUCUCUAAAUGUCAGUUAACAAAUUCUUAUUCUUAAUGUCAAAUGUUCUUUUUUUUUGGAACCAUGCAUACUCCGUUCUGUUAGUAUGUUCAGUUUGGUAGCAUGAUUUCCCUUUAAUUAUGCAGGAUCAGAAUAUGUAGUUUCAGUGUCUAGCUAGCUUAGUGCAUUUUGAUCUUGGAGGUUUCUUUCGGUGUGUAGCUGCUGCUGAUGCUGAGGUUAUAGAAUAUGUAGUUUGAGUGUCUAGCUAGCUGCUGAUGAGGAAUGAUCAGGUGGUGGUGCUUCAAAGUUGGUGCCUGGCCAUUGUGGCCUAAUCACAGCCAUCCAAGAGCUGGAGUAGAAUAGAGUAGGCUUGUAGAGACCAUGAGUGUACAAUAUGGCAGUAGAGACCAUGGCAGUAGAGACCAUGACAUCAGUGACCAUGACAGUACUGAACAUAUACUCCCAUGUAUUCAAAUAAUUCCAAAUUAAGUCCAAUAAAUCUAGCUAAUUCAAAUAAUUCUAAUUCUAAAUUAAUUUAAAUAAAUCUAGCUAAUUCAUGAUCCAAUAAUUAUGUUUGUCACUGCAAGUUCAUGAUCCAAUAAUUAAGAGUAAGUCUAAGAUCAUUUGGUCUCUGAACAUUUAGUCACAGAAAUUUGAUUUGACUGAACAUCAACUUGUCAGAUCAAAUAAAUUCAAAUAAAAUCAAAUAAUUCAAAUUAAUCCAAAUAAUUCAAAUAAAAUCAAAUUACUCAAAUAAGUCGAAAUAAAAUCAAAUAAAUCCAAAUAAUUCAAAUAAAAUCAUAUAAAUUCAAAUAAAAUCAAAUAAUUCAAAUAAUUUACUUGACAUAGUCCAAUCUUUUCUCAUUGAACACAUUACACAGAGAGAUACACAUGAGACAAUACAUACACAUGACACAUGAUACAUCAAUACAUCUCUACCAAUACUGAAUUUCAGAGUACAUAAAUACUGCUAUCUUACUAUGAUCUUCAUUUGCAUAAAUCUUGACAAUCAUUUGAUCAAACACAGAAUGUUUAUGCAGUAUAAAGAAGUGUUGAAAAUUCAGUUACCACUGUUGUUUUGUUGAUCUGUUGUACUUCUUGAUCUACUACUGCUAUUUCUCCGAUUGUUGAUCUGCUUCUUCACUCUGGUUCCUGUACUUCUUGAUCUGCAUCAGAACUAAUUGUUAAUGCUGGCAUCAAACAUUAUAAUGACUGAAUUUGAUCUACUCCAAUAAUUUAUCCAUUGACAUGAUUAAUUGACACAAGUAAUUGACAGAAUCUGGAGCAAUUGAUUGUUUCCAAAAUCUGGAGUAAUCUUCUCAAAUUACAUGAUCAGUUGUGCUUGACUGAAAAUUUUGACAGGAAAAUUUUGAAUGAUUUAAUACUGACAACUCUACAUCUCUGUAAUUGUAUGACACUCAAUGUGGUGCUGUUAUGUGUGUUGGAGUAACAUAUCUGUAAUUGUAUGACACUGAAUGUGUGGAGUAACAUCUUUUACAUCUCUGCUUUGGUCAAAACUGAAUGUUGAUUGCUUGCAUCAUCUACUCUGAAUGAUUUUAUACUGACAACUUCAGCAUCUAUAGACUUUGUGUUGUGGCAGCAGCUAAAAACCCUACAUCUUGUCUCUCUGUUCACUGAAUUUUCAGUGCACUCAUGGAAGCAUGCAUUUUCUAAUCAAUUAACAGUGACAACUGAUUCCUUUGGUCUGUCCUUCAAAAUUAUCAAAUGCAUUGUUUGGAAUCCAGUUUUGUGAUUUGGGGAACUAUAAAUAUUCUGAUUAUCAACUUUAUGUGUCAAGUUUGACAUCAACUUGACUGAAUAUCAACUUGACAGAUCAAAAGCUGACAAAAAUUGACAGGUUUUGAGCAUCAAGAGAUCUGAAUGCAGUUAACUUGUGUUGAAAAGUUAACUGAAUUUUUUUAUCAACAUUGCACCAUUUCAGCAUGACAACUCAACUCAACUAACCUCAACUCAAUUCAGCAAUCAUCUUGUAGGUUCAGGAAUUAUCUUUGCAGGUUCUCCAGACACAACAAUAAUCUUCAGACUCACACCACUAGUUGAACAGCAGCAGCAGCAGAAGCGGGCGGGGCAGACUCACCAGCACCAGUACGAGCAGAGUCGGGGCAAGGGAAAGGGAAGAAGCAUCAUCAGAGGUCCACGUCGGCAUCGCCCACCGGCAGUAGCAACAUCAGAGGCAGGAGUGGCCGGAAUUGUCCGCGGCGCCGGCUGCCGAAGCGGACGAAGUCGGAGGCGCAGGUUUGUGGCAGUGGGCGGCGAAGGUGGUUGCGCAGGUGGGAUACCGCGGGCAGCGCAGGUGGGCGACCGUUGCAGCGAGAUUCAACGGCGCUGGCGGCGCAGCUCGAGGCGGGCGCCGGCGCAGGUUGCCUUCGCAGCGGGCGCCGCAGGUGGAAGCGUCGGCGCACGUCCAGGCGGGCUGCAGGCGGCGGCACUGGUGUUGGUCGCGCGCUGGGCGGCGCUGGUGUUCGUCGCGGCGCAGGUCCAGGCGGGCGGCGGCGCAGGUGGGAAGCCGAGGAUGGCUGCGAGGCGCGGGCGACUGGGGAGCACGAAGGAAGAAGAUGGAGUUAUUCGUGACGGGUUUAAAACUCUGAGGGUCUUUUUGCAAAAAAGUAAAUACACUGUGCUGAGGACAACUUUUCUUGGACGGAGGGAGUAGGACAAAAAUAUUUCUGGAGUAACCAAAGGUGAACAACCUGAAAUGAUACAAAGCAGUUAAAGGAGGAAGACACAUUGGCUGCAUUUGUGGAUUGGAAUUAUAAACUAAUGUGAAAUUACAGAGAAUGUCACCUCAGUGAAUUAAUAGUUUAAUACUCAAGUGGUAUCCAACCGGUUUUAUGUAGCAAAUCUGCAAGAAAAAAAAAAUAGUGGUCUCUACUCUGUAAUCUAGCCCUGGUCAAAGAAGAGAUUGAAAAUAAAUGAAGGAAGCUUACAUGGAUGUGCUGCAAGCAAUAGAUAUAAGGUCAUAAUGUAUGCCUCUUCAUCUUCCCUGAUCGGCCACACAACAUAAAUCCAUCGCAAAUUUGGGCCCUUUGGGAAAAUAUAAGACUACAGUACAGACGACACCAUGCAAAAAUGUUCGGAAAUACUAACGCCCACACGUGUGGGCGUUACCCAACUAGCCCACACGCCUCGAUCGUCAUCCAAUGCCUUUUGCACGAAUCUUGGCACGAAAAGGUUGAUUUUAUACUCCACGUAUGACGAUGUUGGUGUGUGGGUUGGAGAGUUUGUCCACAUGCUAGCACCACACUGUUUGCUAGCUGCGCUGUGUGGGCGAACUAGUUUCUGCCCACACAGCCAGCCACCUAGUUCAUGCGCGUCUGAGCGAACUACUUUUCACCCACACGACACUCCUACAUUGUGGAUGGCAAUUGCAGUUAGACGAACGUGGCAACUAGGUAAACACACAUUACAACUGUAAUUGUUUGCUAGACGGCAACUGCAGUUGCGCGUACGUGGCAACCAGAUAAACACACAUGGCAAUUAUGGUUGGACCACACAUGACAACCAGGUAAACACACAUGGCAACUACUGUUUGACCAUAUGUGGCAAGUAGUUAAUCACACACGACAAACCACCCGUGGCAACUAGGUAAACACGCAUGGCAACUACUGUUUGACCAUGUGUGACAAGUAGUUAAUCACACACGGCAACUACGGUUUGAUUAGAUGCGGCAACUACCAUAAAUUAGACAUGACAACUAUAGUUAACCAAAACAGAUAGAGUUGCCAUCCUUUUACAACUAUACUUGCCAUCCCGGAUAACUACAUCUGCCAACCAGGAUGGCAACUAAAUCGUCAUCCCGUAGUGUACCUAACGUAGUUGCGCCAGUAUAUGUGGGCAUUUUUGCUUCGUGCCACACGCGCGAGAUGGAGAUGAGUAGUACUUGUUGGCGUGUGGCACGAAGCAGCCGCGCCCACACGUGUGGGCAAUUCUAAUAUCCGCCCACACACAGCUCGCGUGGGCUGCCUCCUGCUCACACCAUACAUGGUGUGUGGGCGCAUGUUGAAUACACCACACGUGUGACAGUUAUCGGUGUCCAAAAUAUUUAAGCAUUUCUUCAAUAUCUUCUUUUCCCUGUCAAAGAUGCUUGAGUAAGCCAGGUACAGGCAAGAGUCUUGCAAUCAUCAUUCUAAAUCAGAGCAACUAUAAAUAUGAAAAGUAGGAAAUUAAGUAAAGGAAAAGACACGUGAAUGUCCACUGUAGUUGCCUGAAAAAAGUCAAUGGCAUGUGAAGUAUGAGAUUUUGCUUGUAAGACUAAAACUUUUUAUGGUCCACAUUGUAUUCAUAAAAGAAUUGCGGCUCAAUAAGAAGAGGCACCUCACAUCUUGUAGUAUACAUCCUACCAUAAGGGGAGAAAGAUUUUUUUUGUGAUAUACGGAGUAUAUGCAUGUUCAGAAAAAAAAAAUUAACCAACAUCCAUGAGCGGGGAAGCAAUGGUACCCAGAUUUAGGACCGUAGUCAUGUAAGGUGGACUGCAAGGCAGCCGCGAAGAACCCCCUGCCUAUGUGGAACGCGUGUCAGCGCCAAUCCUUCACCAGCAUCACCUCGUAGAUCUAAUCUUGUGCCAAUCACUGCCUCCCACGCCGCUGCAAGAGAAGGUUUUGGUGAGAGGCCAAUAUUGACGAUUACCAUGAUGUAUAGACAUGAGAGCAUAAGAAUGGGUGGUACCUAGAGGAGCCCUGCACUAUGAAUAUUGAAUACAAAAUUAGAUAUUAGAGAUCAGACUGCAUGUCGUCUUGCAGAAAUGAUUUGGUCUUUAAAAGAACAACAAAUACUCAUUUUUUGGAGGUUAUCUUCUAAGCCACUGCAUUGAUCCGUAUGUGGUCGCUACUCACUCCGACGGAGGCCAGGGAGCGUUUGAUUACUGGAUCUAUCCGAUGGAAGAUGGUAACACGAGUUAUUUUCAACCGGUUUGGAUGGCGGUCAUGUAAUAGGAUAGGCAAUUAGUUUUCCUAUCUUUAUCUUGCUGGCCGGUUGUGGCUUUUUUCUUGUUCUUUAGCUCUUUGUGAGCACUUUUUGUUCUUCUUUGUUUGAGACUUUGAGACCUCUGUCGAAC
rnacentral:rRNA from 1 species